AACAAUUAUGUGGGGUCGGGUUAGGUAUUUCGUUUUGUCUAUGUAAACCUAAUAUGACUUGGCCAAACAAAACUUGCUUUCAAUAUGCGAUAUCGGUUAACGAAAGCGAAACAUACCUGCGUAUGAACGAUAACAGAAUCGAUCGAAUUAUCAAUUUGUAUGAAUUAUAUUAUGUUAUGAUAUUGUACAGUUGCAAAACGAAUCGGGCUAAACGGACGAAAAACCCGCGGUAAUUAUACCGACGACGGCGGAACGGUCUGUCCGUGCACGUUAUGCAUUUUAUUAUUAUAUUUAUCGCGUGUGCGCCUCUGCACACAAUACAAAGAUGCGAUGUGAAAUAAUUGGCAAGCACGACGUUUUGUUGGCUUUAAACCGAUCGAUAGUCACGCGUUUCCUAUAAA